UACAGAGGGUGCGAGCGUUAAUCGGAAUUAUUGGGCGUAAAGCGCGUGUAGGCGGCUUUGCAAGUCGGGUGUGAAAGCCCUCAGCUCAACUGAGGAAGUGCGCCCGAAACUGCAGAGCUUGAGUGCCGGAGAGGGUGGCGGAAUUCCCCAAGUAGAGGUGAAAUUCGUAGAUAUGGGGAGGAACACCGGUGGCGAAGGCGGCCACCUGGACGGUAACUGACGCUGAGACGCGAAAGCGUGGGUAGCAAACAGG
rnacentral:rRNA from 1 species